GCACUCCUGAGGAGUCCCAUAGGACGAAACAGCUGUCCAGUGU
rnacentral:hammerhead_ribozyme from 1 species